GCCCCUGUAGCUCAGUUGGUUAGAGCAGAGGACUCAUAAUCCUUUGGUCGCCGGUUCAAGUCCGGCUUGGGGUACCA
rnacentral:tRNA from 1 species